rnacentral:lncRNA from 1 species
CAUUGCGUCAUGUCUGAGAGCCUAUUUCUGGGCCACGGCCUCUCCAGGGAGUAAGUGAGCUGGGCACUACCGCCCCUAAGAAAGGACAAGACCUCAUUCGCUCACCGAACUUCUGGGUGGAUGGAUGACAGCAGCCUCCUUCCUGUGUGUGAGGGGCAGAGAGGACAGGGGUCACAGCCACAGCAGGAAUCCUCACACCAUUGACGUCAGCUCUUAAGACCAUCAUCGGGUGUGGUGGGGAGUGGGGCAGGGCUUCUCUGGAUCUCUGCCCAGAGUCUGAUGAGUGGGACAGAGGUCUGGGCAGGCUCCUGGACAUGGAAGAGGCUCACUGUGUUGGGCCUCAGUCGCUUCCUGACUUUGUCCCCCGCCUGUGAAAUGUGGAUGCUGGAUGCAUCCUCGCCCACCUCGCAGGCCGCAGCCCACACCUGACAUCGCGGAAUUGCCGGAUAAAAAUGAGAAUAGGCCUGGAGCUGGACUACUUGGGUUCCCAGCCUGGCUUCAGCAUUUAUAAACUGUGUUGGGUUACUUAACCUUCCUGUGUCUCAGUUGCUUCAUCAGUAGACGGAGAUAAGGAAGAGCAGCCACGACUCUUCAUGAUAAUUCACAGAGGUGAGGGGCAGAGGUGAUAAGAGAACAACAUCAUGAAUACCUUUCAAAUACAUGAAUCUGAAGCCUGUGUUGCACAGUGAAUCAACUCGGGGACAAGCUCUGUGAGGCUCAAGAAUGGGGCAGGGGCUCUGGCUUCCUCUGUUCUGGGCUAGAGCCUCCUUUGGCUGAAUCAGCCCCUGCCCACCCCAGCCACUGGGGACCCAAGAUGUCUGAGAGCCCUUUGUCCCUGGCAGCUCACCGGAAACAUCUUAGACUUGGAUCCCGUUCAAAGCCCACUUUCCCCACAGCAGGACUGGGAUGAAGGGGGCCUUGGAGGCAUGCUACUCUGUCACCUUUCCCACCUCCACAUGCUUUCAAUCCCAUGGCAGCCUGUGGGUCCUGGGAAGAAAGCCAAGCACCUCAUCUCCAUGGAGGCCCAAGAUUGUCCAUGUCACCCCUGCCCUCCAGCCCUAGAACUGCCCAGGCAGGAAUCAAGGUCUUCAUUUGACAGAUGAGGAAGUGAAGGCUCAGAGAGGGACAGGAACUUGCCCAAGGUCAUCCAGCAAAGUGAAGGAGUAUCCAGAGUAUCUCCGGAAAGGAAGAGCCCAGCUCCCACUUGGAGAAAGGGCCGCGGGUGCAUCCAGCAGAGGGGAGGAUGGCCAACGUUCACACCUCUGGCUCCCAAAUCCAGCUUCACAAAGGCUAAGCCUGCCUGCCUGCCCCUCCUGCUGAGGGCCCCACAGUCGGAGAAGCCAAACCCAGACCCAGGAGGCUUCGGUGAUCCAAGAGCAAGCCAGUCCAGAGCCACAGUCCACAGGAGGUCACUGAUGUCCCGGGUUCCCCUCCCGGGCCAGCACUAGGGCUAGGGGGUUAUAACACAGGCCACAUAAGAAUAGUUUUAUCGGUAGAAUAAAUACAUUUUUCUUUUUUAAUAUGGACACGUAUUUUACAAA